CUGCCCUAAAGGGGGGUCGAGGUCUUUUUCAGAUUAGGACCUUACAGGGUGUGUGUGUGUACCUGUUGGUGCUUGGAACUGAACAGGCACCUGGUAAGCAGGCAUCCCUCUCCUGCCGGGGCCUUCCUUUGUUCUGCUUCAGUCUGGUUGACCGUAGCUUUGUGUUGGUUAGCUGGAACCAAAGGUGGCCAUGCGGCCAGAGGCAGUAGCCAACCCCACCCCUUAACUCUACCCAGGAUAGGAGAAAUCCGGUCCCUGCCCGACUUAGGGGAGAUAAGAGGUGGACAGCACAAGCUUUGGGAAAGUUACAAGGCUAGCGCUGACUCAAAUUCUCCCUCCUUGCAUGUCCCCAGCAACUCAGAAACAAGGGCUAGUUCCCAAGCCAAGAAGCCUUCCAGGAAGGGGAGCAUCCCUUUGCCAGUUGGAAUGGCCAUUCUUGGCAGCUUCCUGGGAGACGGGGCAGGGUGGUUAGGAGGGUGGCAAAGUGUGUUCCCGUUGGCAUAGCACUAGGUUCCCUUGACCCUCGUCCCUAAGGGUCCUACUCACUGCUGGAGUGACCCUUGUUCCGUGAGCAUCUGUCUGCUCAGUGAGAGCCUUUGACCUGGCCGUGACAGACAGCAAGCACAGUUCCUGUUCCAGGAAUGCAGAUGGUUGGGAGAUGGAGAUGCCGAGCCAAAAAUUUCAACACGACGGUGUGUUACACAAUAAGGACAAGUGUGUGGCUCUCUCUGGGAAGCACAAAGAUGGUCCGUCUACCCAGCUGGGGACUGGAGGGACAGCUAAACCGGAGGCCUAAGUAGGGGUGGACCCCAUUGCCUGUGUGCUGCCGAGACAGGGAAAACGGUGGCCGAUGGCGUGGCGUGCAGGGAUGGAACGCUUCCUCCAACACUAACACGCCUGGGGUUGACCAGUUAUCCACAACCUCUGGGAAGUUGGUACAGUGUGCUGGAAUUCUCAGACCUUGGCUCCCCUCUCGUCUUCGGACACGAGACACCAGAAUAUCCCUUCUACCCAGCACAGUAGUCAGAUGCUCAGCCCCCUGCAUUUUGAAAGGUUCCACUCAGAAGGAAAGAACUUGGCCCAGUUGUCACACUCAGUUUCCCCGUGAGCUACCUUCUGCAUCUCCUGACUCGCAGGAGAAAUAGAGCUACGUCAGAAAAUCAUAGGGAACCUUUGGAUACGGUGGCAUGGUGAUUUCCUCCAAUUGAAACAUUCCUUCCUGGAGGGAGGAAGGAGGUCCUAGACACAGGAAAGUCACAAGCCUCCCAAGUUUGAGAAUGCUGAAACUCACAAGCUUCCUAAGGCCAUUCCCUAAGGUUAUAGAAGCGAAACGAAAUGCCAGGGAGAGGAGGGUCUCCUCCCGUCGGUAAGAGGAGAGGCUGACCUGGCAGCUGACAGCAGUGCAGGGAGAAGCCGGGAAGCCACGCUCAUGAGGCCUGACCCAUGCUGGAUGGACUUUGAGCCGCCCGUGUUCCUGUAACCCCUAACCUAUAUUCUCGCAAGUAACUUCAGUGAGCUCACGGGCUCACCAAGCUGGACUUUGUGGGCUCUUUAACCCAUCCCCAGUACCCUAUGUGGCGACGGGGGCCCAGUUCUGGUGGAUUUAUCUUGUUUUCCAGUUACAGCUCUCUCUGCCAGACAGGCCCGUUCUUCUCAGCACCAACGGGAUCUGAUUUUGGUUUUUAAUUUACACAUUCUAUUUAUUUAUUAUUAGUGGUUGUAUGUGUAUGUAUGGGUGUGCGUGGGUGGUCAGAGGACACCUUUUGAAGGAUGGCAUUUUCCUUUCACUGUGGGUUCUGGGGAUCAGACCCAGGUUUGUCACGUUUCCACGGUGAACUCUUUUAUCCCUGAGCCAUCUGAGUGUCCUUGGUUUUUCCAUUUAUUUAUUUUUAAUUAAUUAAUUAAUUUAAGGCAAGGUCUCACUGUGUAGCUCUGGCCUGGAAUUCACCGUGUAGACCGUGGUGGCCAUGAACUCGUAGCAAUCCUCUUACUUCAGCUUUCCAAGUGUUGAGGUUACAGAUCUGAGCCACCACACUGGCUGGUAGGAAAGCUUUGCUGUUUUGUGUGAGUCACGUGGCUCUGGCUGUCCUUUAAGAGUUUUUAGAAGCUGUUGAGAUGGGCUCUGUAGUACAUACCUUUAAUCCCAACAAUGAGGAGGCGAAGGAAGACAGAGCUGUGAGUUUGAAGCCAAUGUGGUCUGCAUAGUGACCAGGCCAGCUAAGGCUACCUACCCAGACCUUGCCUUAAAAACAAACAAACUUAUUAUGACAGCUUUAUUGAAAUAUAGUUGAUAUUUAAUAAAUGAUAUGUAUACAAUAAUAUAGACACUGUAUACUUUUAAUGUUUUAUCCAACUUUUGACACAAUAUAUCAUGAUCAUAUUCUUUCUCUCUAAUUCUUCACAAAUCCUCAUCUCCAUACCCACCAAAUUUCGUGUUCUCUGUCUCUCUCUAUCUUCUCCUAAAACAAAACAAAACAGGAAAAACAACAAUUAAAAAUGAAAACCAAAGCACACAAACUUUUUAAAAAAAAAUCAAUAAAGCAAAAUUACCAAAACAAAACAAAAUGUUGAUAAACAAAGUGACAGUCUAUUGGAAAAUAUUGAUUUUUUUUUUCUUUCCCAGCAACCAUCAACUGCAAGUAGAUUCUUAGUUAGGAAUGGAACUUUGUGUCUACUUCCCUUUCUCAGCGCUGGCAUUUUUAUCUCGCGUAAACCAGUGUGGGACUUG